UACGUAGGGUGCAAGCGUUGUCCCGGAAUUAUUGGGCGUAAAGAGCUCGUAGGCGGUCUGUCGCGUCGGCUGUGAAAACCCGGGGCUCAACCCCGGGCCUGCAGUCGAUACGGGCAGACUAGAGUGUGGUAGGGGAGACUGGAAUUCCUGGUGUAGCGGUGAAAUGCGCAGAUAUCAGGAGGAACACCGGUGGCGAAGGCGGGUCUCUGGGACAUUACUGACGCUGAGGAGCGAAAGCGUGGGGAGCGAACAGG
rnacentral:rRNA from 1 species